rnacentral:piRNA from 2 species
UGGGCAGCUAGAACAAUGCAAUGGUAGGA